rnacentral:rRNA from 1 species
GUAGGUGGCAAGCGUUGUUCGGAAUUAUUGGGCGUAAAGCGCGCGCAGGCGGUCCUUUAAGUCUGAUGUGAAAGCCCACGGCUCAACCGUGGAGGGUCAUUGGAAACUGGGGGACUUGAGUACAGAAGAGGAAAGCGGAAUUCCAAGUGUAGCGGUGAAAUGCGUAGAGAUUUGGAGGAACACCAGUGGCGAAGGCGGCUUUCUGGUCUGUAACUGACGCUGAGGCGCGAAAGCGUGGGGAGCAAACAGGAUUAGAUACCCUGGUAGUCCACGCCGUAAACGAUGAGUGCUAAGUGUUAGGGGGUUUCCCGCCCCCUUAGUGCUGCAGCUAACGCAUUAAGCACUCCGCCUGGGGAGUACGGCCGCAAGGCUG